UACGUAGGGGGCAAGCGUUGUCCGGAAUUAUUGGGCGUAAAGAGCUCGUAGGCGGUCUGUCGCGUCUGCUGUGAAAACCCGAGGCUCAACCUCGGGCCUGCAGUGGGUACGGGCAGACUAGAGUGCGGUAGGGGGAGAAUGGAAUUCCUGGUGUAGCGGUGGAAUGCGCAGAUAUCAGGAGGAACACCGAUGGCGAAGGCAGUUCUCUGGGCCGUAACUGACGCUGAGGAGCGAAAGCGUGGGGAGCGAACAGG
rnacentral:rRNA from 1 species